rnacentral:misc_RNA from 1 species
GAAAUGCGAUACGUAGUGUGAAUUGCAGAAUUCCGUGAAUCAUCGAAUCUUUGAACGCAUAUUGCGCUCGAGGCUUCGGCCAAGAGCAUGUCUGCCUCAGCGUCGGGUUAAUAUCACUCCCUACUCUCCCAGGAGAAUAGUUGGUAGUGGAUCUGGCUGUUCCAGCUAGGCACUGUCGGCUUGCCGAUAAAUCGUGCUCUGGAUCAGCUGAAGCACAGAGGCUAACCAAGGACCCGUUAAGGGCCGCAACUGGGUAGGCAUUUUAUGCUAUUCUUAGUUGUUGGUCUGGGACCCUGUGUUCGGCCCUCUAACCAGGAAUUAACCCUUAUUUUCUCGACCUGAGCUUAGGCAAGAACACCCGCUGAACUUAA